AUACGGAGGGUGCAAGCGUUACUCGGAAUUACUGGGCGUAAAGGACGCGUAGGCUGGUUUGCAAGUCAGGGGUGAAAGCCUACAGCUUAACUGUAGAACUGCUCUUGAAACUGCUUACCUAGAGUAUGGGAGAGGUGAAAGGAAUUAGUGGUGUAGGGGUAAAAUCCGUAGAGAUCACUAGGAAUACCGAUUGCGAAGGCGUUUCACUGGAACAUUACUGACGCUGAGGCGUGAAAGCGUGGGGAGCAAACAGGAUUAGAUACCAUAGUAGUCC
rnacentral:rRNA from 1 species